rnacentral:hammerhead_ribozyme from 1 species
AUCCAGCUUACGGGUCACAAAUAGGAUGAAACGCUCGUCCUGGAU